rnacentral:piRNA from 1 species
CUCUUCACCAACCAGUCAGCUC